UACGGGGGGGGCAAGCGUUGUUCGGAAUUACUGGGCGUAAAGGGCGCGUAGGCGGCUCGCUAAGUCGGAUGUGAAAACUCUGGGCUCAACCCAGAGCCUGCAUUCGAAACUGACGAGCUGGAGUUCUGGAGGGGAAAGCGGAAUUCCUGGUGUAGCGGUGAAAUGCGUAGAUAUCAGGAGGAACACCGGUGGCGAAGGCGGGUCUCUGGGCCGAUACUGACGCUGAGGAGCGAAAGCGUGGGGAGCGAACAGG
rnacentral:rRNA from 1 species